rnacentral:rRNA from 1 species
GACGGAGGGUGCAAGCGUUGUUCGGAAUUAUUGGGCGUAAAGAGCGUGUAGGCGGCCGGUUAAGUCAGGUGUGAAAGCCCGGGGCUCAACCUCGGAAGUGCACUUGAAACUGGUCGGCUUGAGUUCGGGAGAGGGAAGCGGAAUUCCGGGUGUAGAGGUGAAAUUCGUAGAUAUCCGGAGGAACAUCGGUGGCGAAGGCGGCUUCCUGGACCAACACUGACGCUGAGGUGCGAAAGCGUGGGGAGCAAACAGG